rnacentral:rRNA from 1 species
UGGGGAAUUUUGGACAAUGGGGGAAACCCUGAUCCAGCCAUCCCGCGUGUGCGAUGAAGGCCUUCGGGUUGUAAAGCACUUUUGGCAGGAAAGAAACGUCAUGGGUUAAUACCCCGUGAAACUGACGGUACCUGCAGAAUAAGCACCGGCUAACUACGUGCCAGCAGCCGCGGUAAUACGUAGGGUGCAAGCGUUAAUCGGAAUUACUGGGCGUAAAGCGUGCGCAGGCGGUUCGGAAAGAAAGAUGUGAAAUCCCAGCGCUUAACUUUGGAACUUCAUUUUUAACUACCGGGCUAGAGUGUGUCAGAGGGAGGUGGAAUUCCGCGUGUAGCAGUGAAAUGCGUAGAUAUGCGGAGGAACACCGAUGGCGAAGGCAGCCUCCUGGGAUAACACUGACGCUCAUGCACGAAAGCGUGGGGAGCAAACA